GACACUUUGGCCGAGUGGUUUAAGGCGCAGGCCUGCUAUUCAGCGUUACUCCGGUACUGCUAUAGUAUAGCCUGUGGGUUCGCCCGCCUGGGUUCGAGUCCCAGAGGUGUCG
rnacentral:tRNA from 1 species